rnacentral:rRNA from 1 species
GGGGAAUAUUGGGCAAUGGGCGCAAGCCUGACCCAGCAACGCCGCGUGAAGGAAGAAGGCUUUCGGGUUGUAAACUUCUUUUGUCGGGGACGAAACAAAUGACGGUACCCGACGAAUAAGCCACGGCUAACUACGUGCCAGCAGCCGCGGUAAUACGUAGGUGGCAAGCGUUAUCCGGAUUUACUGGGUGUAAAGGGCGUGUAGGCGGGAUUGCAAGUCAGAUGUGAAAACUGGGGGCUCAACCUCCAGCCUGCAUUUGAAACUGUAGUUCUUGAGUGCUGGAGAGGCAAUCGGAAUUCCGUGUGUAGCGGUGAAAUGCGUAGAUAUACGGAGGAACACCAGUGGCGAAGGCGGAUUGCUGGACAGUAACUGACGCUGAGGCGCGAAAGCGUGGGGAGCAAAC